UGAACGCUGGCGGCGUGCUUAACACAUGCAAGUCGAACGGUAACAGAUGGAAGCUUGCUUCCAUGCUGACGAGUGGCGCACGGGUGAGUAAUGCAUAGGUAACGUGCCCCUUAGUCUGGGAUAGCCACUGGAAACGGUGAUUAAUACCGGAUACUCCUUCUACCUUAAUGGUAGUCGGGAAAGUUUUUCGCUAAGGGAUCGGCCUAUGUUGUAUCAGGUAGUUGGUGAGGUAAUGGCUCAACAAGCCUAUGACACAUAGCGGGUCUGAGAGGAUGAUCCGCCACACUGGUACUGAGACACGGACCAGACUCCUACGGGAGGCAGCAGUGGGGAAUAUUGCACAAUGGACGCAAGUCUGAUGCAGCAACGCCGCGUGGAGGAUGACACAUUUCGGUGCGUAAACUCCUUUUAUAUAAGAAGAUAAUGACGGUAUUAUAUGAAUAAGCACCGGCUAACUCC
rnacentral:rRNA from 1 species